GAUCACCGCUAUUGGAAUUCGGUUAAGGCAUGCGAGUCGAGAGGGUACGGCCCUCGGCAAACGGCUCAGUAACACGUGGAUAAUCUGCCCUUAGGUGGGGGAUAAUCUCGAGAAAUUGAGCAUAAUACCCCAUAGCCCUAGAUUGCUGGAAUGCUUCUAAGGCAAAAGCUCCGGCGCCUAAGGAUGAGUCUGCGGCCUAUCAGGUUGUAGUGAGUGUAACGGACUCACUAGCCGACGACGGGUACGGGUCCUGGAAGAGAGUGCCCGGAGAUGGACUCUGAGACACGAGUCCAGGCCCUACGGGGCGCAGCAGCUACGAAAACUUCACAAUGCGGGAAACCGUGAUGAGGGAAUUCCAAGUGCUAAUACUUUGUAUUAGCUGUUUACUUGCCUAAAAAGCAGGUAGAGUAAGGGCUGGGUAAGACUGGUGCCAGCCGCCGCGGUAAUACCAGCAGCUCAAGUGGUGAUCGUUAUUAUUGGGCCUAAAGCGUCCGUACCCGGUUUGGUAAACCCUUGGGUAAAUCGGGCAGCUUAACUGUCCGAAUUCUGAGGAGACUGCCAGACUUGUGACCGGCAGACGUCAGAGGUACUUCUAGGGUAGAGGUGAAA
rnacentral:rRNA from 1 species